rnacentral:rRNA from 1 species
UGCCUAACACAUGCAAGUCGAACGCGAAAGUUCCUUCGGGAGCGAGUAGAGUGGCGGACGGGUGAGAAACGCGUGAGAAUUUUCCUCUUAGUGAAGGAUACCUCCGAGAAAUCGGGGCUAAUACUGCAUAAGUCCCUGCGGGGAGAAAGAUGGCCUCUUGCUAUCGCUGAGAGAUAAGCUUGCGUACUAUUAGCUAGUUGGUGGGGUAAUGGCCUACCAAGGCGAUGAUGGUUAGCCGGCCUGAGAGGGUGUACGGCCACAUUGGGACUGAGAUACGGCCCAGACUCCUACGGGAGGCAGCAGUGGGGAAUAUUGCACAAUGGGCGAAAGCCUGAUGCAGCGACGCCGCGUGGAGGAUGAAGGUUUUAGGAUUGUAAACUCC